rnacentral:rRNA from 1 species
CCUACGGGUGGCAGCAGUGGGGGAUAUUGCACAAUGGGGGAAACCCUGAUGCAGCGACGCCGCGUGGGCGAAGAAGUAUUUCGGUAUGUAAAGCCCUAUCAGCAGGGAAGAAGAAAUGACGGUACCUGAGUAAUAAGCACCGGCUAAAUACGUGCCAGCAGCCGCGGUCAUACGUAUGGUGCAAGCGUUAUCCGGAUUUACUGGGUGUAAAGGGAGCGUAGGCGGCACGGCAAGCCUGAUGUGAAAGCCCGCGGCCCAACCGCGGGACUGCAUUGGGAACUACCGGGCUGGAGGGCCGGAGAGGUAGGCGGAAUUAGUAGUGUAGCGGUGAAAUGCGUAGAUAUUAGGAGGAACACCAGUGGCGAAGGCAGCCUACUGGACGGUGACUGACGCGGAGGCUCGAAAGCGUGGGGAGCAAACAGGAUUAGAUACCCUUGUAGUC